rnacentral:rRNA from 1 species
UACGUAGGGGGCAAGCGUUGUCCGGAUUCACUGGGCGUAAAGGGCGCGUAGGCGGUUCCGUAAGUCAGGCGUGAAAGCUCACGGCUCAACUGUGGACGUGCGUCUGAUACUGCGGUGACUUGAGGUCGGUAGAGGUAAGUGGAACUAGCGGUGUAGCGGUGAAAUGCGCAGAUAUCGCUAGGAACGCCGGUGGCGAAGGCGACUUGCUGGGCCGUACCUGACGCUGAUGCGCGAAAGCGUGGGUAGCAAACAGG